GAUCCUUAACGAAAAAUGCACGAUAACUAGAAAAUGAUGUGGAGGAGGUUGACGUGCAUAUACCGUGACGGUUGUUGCACGGCAAAUUCAACCAUUUUAUCUACCAUAGUUGCUAUCUGGUCCACGGAAUUGGACUCUAAAGCGGUUGCCAAAACAGUUUGUAUAUAUGCGGGCAACCUUCUCUAACAGCUUGAUGCGACCAACCUUCUGUUAGGAAAUGAUUUAUAUAUAAAAGAACUUUCUAUGAGGGUAACCGACUCCGCUCCAAAAGGGUGUUCUUAAAGAUGGAAACUGAAAAACCACAUUCUGUUACCCUUUGUCUCCUACGACGAACUAUCUUCCUACAAAGAAAUAUAUUUUUUCCAUUUCGCAGAACACG